rnacentral:lncRNA from 1 species
AGAUUUUUGCAGUUUUUGGCUUUUAGAAUAUACUUUUUUCCGGGUCCGUAACAUAUCUGUAAGCACUCAGAAAGCUUCUGGUCCUGAGCCCUGUGUACUCAGGGGAUGAAUCCGCUCUCCUCAAGGACAACAGGGAAAUCAACCCACAAGCCACGGAAGAACAACCCGGUUUUAUGUACCAUGGAGCUCAGGUUCCAGUCUUACCCCCACACUGCUGCUCACUGUUCCCAGCAAUCGCUGGCCACUGUCCCAAGACAUCUGAGCCCUGGGCACCAACCUGUCACCUCCCGGAUCUCUGGGUCCAGGACGGACGGUGCUCCGCAGGGAAGCAGAAUCCCGCCAAGCAGGGUGCCGGUAGCCCUCGGCAGAUGUGAAGGGUUGUCAGCUUCGGGAGUCCCCUAAGGGAAUCAAGACAGGAGGCCUGCAGGGAGCUGGAGACCACACUGGACCGAGAGAAGACGAAAGGGUGGCUGCCCGUGGCCAGAAGAACGGGAGGAAACGGAACGAAGGGUCACCCACACUUGGUCUACGCUUUGCUGAGACAUGAUUGACGUGUGCCUCGUUAUUUUUUCUAAUUGUUUUUUAAUGUUUUUUUUAUUUUUUUUAAUUUAUUAAAAAAAAAUUUUUUUUUACGUUUAUUUAUUUUUGAGACAGAGAGAGAGCAUGAACAGGGGAGGGUCAGAGAGAGAGGGAGACACAGAAUCGGAAACAGGCUCCAGGCUCUGAGCCAUCAGCACAGAGCCCGAUGCGGGGCUUGAACUCACGGACUGCGAGAUCAUGACCUGAGCUGAAGUCGGUCGCCCAACCGACUGAGCCACCCAGGCACCCCUAAUGUUUUUAUUUUUGACACAGAGAGAGAGGCAGAGUGCAAGCGGGGGAGGGGCAGAGAGAGAGGGAGACACAGAAUCGGAAGCGGGCUCCAGGCUCCGAGCUGCGGAUGCUGGGCUCGAACUCAUGAGCUGUGAGAUCAUGACCUGAGCCGAAGUCUGACGCUCAACCGCCUGAGCCACCCAGGCACCCCGCCUCAUUAUUUUUGGUGGAGACAAGAAUCCACCUACCUAGGGACGCUGAGGGCACAGGUGCUCUUUCCCCGUGUCCCUUCCAGCUAGGACGAGAGCACGUGACUGGGGUUCAG